rnacentral:rRNA from 1 species
AACGAACGCUGGCGGCAUGCCUAACACAUGCAAGUCGAACGAGACCUUCGGGUCUAGUGGCGCACGGGUGCGUAACGCGUGGGAACCUGCCUUUAGGUUCGGAAUCACUCAGAGAAAUUUGAGCUAAUACCGGAUGAUGUCUUCGGACCAAAGAUUUAUCGCCUUUAGAUGGGCCCGCGUUGGAUUAGCUAGUUGGUGGUGUAAAGGCCUACCAAGGCGACGAUCCAUAGCUGGUCUGAGAGGAUGCUCAGCCACACUGGGACUGAGACACGGCCCAGACUCCUACGGGAGGCAGCAGUGGGGAAUAUUGGACAAUGGGCGAAAGUCUGAUCCAGCAAUGCCGCGUGAGUGAUGAAGGCCUUAGGGUUGUAAAGCUCUUUUACCCGAGAUGAUAAUGACAGUAUCGGGAGAAUAAGCUCCGGCUAACUCCGUG